UAGGGAAUCUUCCGCAAUGGACGCAAGUCUGACGGAGCAACGCCGCGUGAGUGAAGAAGGAUUUCGGUUCGUAAAACUCUGUUGUUAGAGAAGAACAGCGCAUAGAGUAACUGUUAUGCGUGUGACGGUAUCUAACCAGAAAGCCACGGCUAACUACGUGCCAGCAGCCGCGGUAAUACGUAGGUGGCAAGCGUUGUCCGGAUUUAUUGGGCGUAAAGCGAGCGCAGGCGGUCAAUUAAGUCUGAUGUGAAAGCCCCCGGCUCAACCGGGGAGGGUCAUUGGAAACUGGUUGACUUGAGUGCAGAAGAGGAGAGUGGAAUUCCAUGUGUAGCGGUGAAAUGCGUAGAUAUAUGGAGGAACACCAGUGGCGAAGGCGACUCUAUGGUCUGUAACUGACGCUGAGGCUCGAAAGCGUGGGGAGCGAACAGG
rnacentral:rRNA from 1 species